GACAGAGGGUGCAAACGUUGUUCGGAAUUACUGGGCGUAAAGCGCGUGUAGGCGGCUCGGAAAGUCGGGUGUGAAAGCCCUGGGCUUAACCCAGGAAGUGCACUCGAAACUUCCGAGCUGGAGUCCUGGAGAGGAAGGCGGAAUUCUCGGUGUAGAGGUGAAAUUCGUAGAUAUCGAGAGGAACACCGGUGGCGAAGGCGGCCUUCUGGACAGUGACUGACGCUGAAACGCGAAAGCGUGGGGAGCAAACAGG
rnacentral:rRNA from 1 species